rnacentral:rRNA from 1 species
UACGUAGGGGGCUAGCGUUGUCCGGAUUUAUUGGGCGUAAAGAGCGUGUAGGCGGCCAGGUAGGUCCGGUGUGAAAACUCGAGGCUUAACCUCGAGAUGUCAUCGGAAACCAUCUGCUAGAGUCCGGAAGAGGAAAGUGGAAUUCCUGGUGUAGCGGUGAAAUGCGCAGAUAUCAGGAAGAACACCAAUGGCGAAAGCAGCUUCUGGGACGGUACUGACGCUGAGACGCGAAAGCGUGGGGAGCGAACAGG